rnacentral:sRNA from 2 species
CCACCAUCAGCACCAGGCACUACCAGCACCAGGGAACCGGGGAACCACCACCUUGGGGUGAAUCGGGUCGAACCUGACCCGUAGGAGACCUUCCUGCUCCGAACCCGUCAGCUAACCCGGUAGGCGAGAAGGAAGGAAAGG